GUGAAAUUAAAAAAUUAAUAAAAAUACAAAAACAGGGCUAUCUCCGCAGGACUAUCUCCACAGGGCUAUCUCCGCAGGUCUCUCUCCACAGGGCUAACUCCACGGGCCUCUCUCCACAGGGCUAUCUCCACAGGGAUAUCUCCACAGGUUCUGUCGAGUGUGUAAGCGAAGAAGCAACCUCUACAGGAGAGUCUUUGAGAAGUUUGAUAAGGACAGGGAUGGACUGCUUUCUCUCAAGGAAAUGGAAUGUGGCAUAUGUGACCUAUACAUGGCUGAUGUCACUGCUGGGCAGCUCCAGCGGCUGGUGGUAUUGAUUGACGCAGAUGCAAAAUCACACUUUGACUGUGUCAUUCUGCACGACAUGUGCCCGGUCUGAAAGAUUAUUUCACUCCGCGUUAGUGUAAGUCUUGUGAUUGGCACAUGAUAACCAACUGUCAAAUGACAAAAUAAACACACCAGGUGCAUUCAUAUGAAUGACAUGAACUUGUUCACUUUCACAGAGAAUAAAGAAAAAAUCAAGAAAAGACCAGCAAAUAUAAAUCCUUAUAUUCUUGAAAGCUAUCACUAUUAAGUGUUAAAUCAACACUUGAAAUAUCAACACUUAAAAUUAAGUGUUUAAAAUAAAUAUUAACACUGGAAAUACAUCUGUAAUUUUGUUAGGAAAGAAGACAUGGAGGAAAAUGUUGAAAAGGACCGUUUAGAAGAGGCCGACUUCAGCUCACUGAUGGGAAAGCUCUGCUACUACAACAUUUCACCUCCAACGACUAAACUGCUGUUAAUGAUUUCAAGACUUACACGUGUUCAAACAAACCUAGACCAGCGCAUCAAAGGGAAGUACUAGGCCCAGCGGUCUCAUGUACCAGACUUGAUAGGGCUUUCUUUAUAGACACUGUGGCUGUUGAGACUAGGGCCCCUGUAAACUAGUUAGGGUCUUACAGUCACCUGUCAUCUGAGUGUCACGGUGACAAUUCAUAUAAAUAUUUGUAGGAUUAUUUGUCCCUUUUCAUUUCAAUAAACGUGUCAAAGCCAACAUUCUUGUAAUGUAGACCUACAUAUUACCCUGCCAUACAUGCUUAACUGGUAUACAAGUAAAGCGGUUUAUAUGACAAGUGCUAGCAAAUAAAUGCAAUCCAUCAUUACAACUGUUUUAACUUAAUCUUCAACAAAAAGCUCUGAUUAGAACUGUAGUGUAGGGCCAACCAACCAUGAGCUCUGUGGUGGUGUUAGAAAUUCCCUCGGCCAUCUCCAACGUUCCUCCAGCGCUUCUCAAAUGACAGUGACUUAACAUGGCUCACCGAAAAUAAAUGGGCAUACAUCCAAUAGGCAAGUAUCCAUUUCGUGAGUAAUUUCUAACCACGUUUAAACACCCAAAUCCAUGGCUUUACUCCUAUCAUAAACAUUCAGUAAAAGCUAAGUCAAAAUCAAGAAGCAUUAAUUAAUUGUUUGAUGAAAUCAACACCAACAGAAUUUUUGGUAUGUUUAAUUUAGAUUGUUUAAUGUUAAUUCCAUGCUGUGCUUCAGUAAGAACAAUAGGAGACGCUCUGUGGCUCCAGUCAGAUAUCCAGUAGUACAAAUUAGCUUUAAGUUACACAUAAUGAAGCAAAAAAAAAAGGAAAGAAAAACAUUAAGAGCAAUAUAAAGGAGGGGAAAGAGGCAGAAAAAUAACUAUUCAUUAACUCAUGCAGGCUUGAAAUCAUCUCUUUAGAACCCUGUCAUCAAUAGAAGC